rnacentral:rRNA from 1 species
CGGCCGCGGUAUCUUGACCGUGCAAAGGUAGCAUAAUCACUUGUCUCUUAAAUGGGGACCCGUAUGAAUGGCUUUUCAUCCUUUAACUGUCUCCCUUUUUCACCACACAAACUUCUAUUUACGUGAAGAAGCGUACUUUAGAGAGAAAGACGAGAAGACCCUGUCGAGCUUUAGCUUAUCCUGAAAACUAAGUAUACCCUUCCAGGAAAAACCCUUUUCAGGCCAAGCUUUGGUUGGGGCAACCAUGGAGAAAAGAAAUCCUCCAGUUUUAUAGGAAGAGAACCACUCUCCUCCCCCGUUCUCAAGAACCAACGACUUUGGAAAACGGAAAAAGUUACCGCAGGGAUAACAGCGUUAUCUUUUCUGAGAGCCCUUAUUGACGAAAAGGAUUGCGACCUCGAUGUUGGAUUGGGGUAACCAAAGGGUGCAGCAGCUCU